GUAAAUAGUAUAUAUACCCCAAUUGGCUUGAGGGUGACUUUCUGGAAAUCAGUUAGUCUCACCACCCAGCCCAUUCUCCACGCCGGCCUCCGAUCUACUUUCCGGCGAAGCAUUGCCUCCAGACGCACCUCCACGCGCUUCCACGCGCCACCCUACAUAGACUUGUUUCCGGCCACGCGUCGGCGCAUGCACCACUUCCCGGCGAUCGUUUCACGCCGGCGAUUCUUCUCCCAGCUUCACCCAGAACCGGUGACCAAAGCCCAGUAGGUCCGGUCGUCAGAUCAGCUCGCCUUCACACAUCUUUCAUCCACGCGCGGACGCGUGCACCACUUUCUGGCGACUGUUUCAUGCCGGCGAUUCUUCUCCCAGCUUCGCCCGGCGCUGGCGACCAAAGCCCAGUAGGUGCGGUCAUCAGAUUUACUGUUCACAGGCGUUCUUUUUGGUAGAUUCGGUUCCUUUUUGCAGAUUCGGGUCCCUACUCGGUCCCUUGUUAUUUCAGAAUCUCUCUCAACAUGUCUGAGAGUCAAAACUCCCUCAAUACAGAUUUAGAUCCAGUCUCCAUGGCCCAAUCAAAUAUUGCCCAUUCUGAUAAUUCUUUUGCUUAUCUAACCAAGUCUUUACCCUUUGGUUCAUGGAUCCUCGACUCUGGUGCUUUUGAUCAUAUCUCUAGUAAUCCCUCUCUUUUCUCUACUCUUGUUUCACCUUCCACACCAUCUAAAGUCACAUUAGCUAAUGGUUCACAAACUCAAGUUAAAGGGAUCGGUAACGUAUAUCUCCUUCCUUCUAUCCCCUUGACUAAUGUUUUAUUUACUCCAGACUGUCCAUACAACCUAAUCUCUGUUAGCAAAUUGACUAAAGAUCUUCACUGUUCAGUCAUCUUUACUACUGAAUUUGUGGUUGUGCAGGACCGGAGUACUGGAAAGAUGAUUGGAGCAAGAUAUGAGUCACAAGGAUUGUACUAUUUUUCCACUUCUAACUCUCCAAUUGCUUUUGUGUCUUCCACCUCCGCUGAACUCAUUCAUAGUCGUUGGGGACAUUCAAGUCUGAACAAGUUACAAAAGCUGGAUCCUAGCCUCUCUUCCUUGCCUUCUUUAGAAUGUGAGUCUUGUCAACUCGGAAAGCAAAUUCGAGCUUCUUUUCCCAAGCGAAUCAAUAAUAGGGCUAGUUCUAUAUUUGACAUUGUUCAUUUAGAUAUUUGGGGUCUAAGUUGGGUUAGUACAACUCUGAGAUUUCAAUAUUUUGUUACCUUUAUUGAUGACUAUUCUCGUUGUACUUGGCUUUUUCUGAUGAAGAAUUGUUCUGAUUUGUUCCGUAUUUUUCAAAAGUUUUAUGUUGAAAUCCAUAAUCAAUUUGGUGUUCGCAUUAAGAUACUGCGAAGUGAUAAUGCAAGAGAAUAUUUGUCAUCCUCAUUUACUCAUUUCUUGUCUACUUAGGGUGUUGCUCACCAAACUUCUUGCUCUUAUACCCCACAACAAAAUGGAGUUGCCGAACGGAAAAAUCGGCAUUUAAUUGAAACAGCCCGCACUUUACUCCUACAUCACAAUGUUCCGUUGCGUUUUUGGGGGAAGCUGUCCUCACCGCCUGUUACUUGAUUAACCGAAUGCCUUCCUCUGUUUUGCAGCAUCAAAGUCCUCAUUUUGUCCUAUUUUCUAACCAGAAUACCACCCAGUUGUCUCUGCGUGUUUUCGGAUGUGUAUGCUUUGUUCAUGAUCAUACUCCUGGCAAAGACGGCUAUUCACGGCUUCAAAAAGGUUACAAAUGCUAUGAUCCUACUACUAAUAGAUAUUUUGUGUCUGCAGAUGUCACCUUUUUUGAAACCUCUCCUUACUUUUCUUCUAGUCCAACACACAAAACUUUUGUCCCUAGCGCUUUGCCUGUACCUCCGGCUCUUAAUUUCUUCUUUGCCGCAAGUGUGUCCAUCUCCCACUCCUAUGCCACCUCUUCAUGUCUAUACACGUCGGUCUCACCCAUUUGCUAAUAACAAUGACAUUUCUCUCUCUAAUGCAGGUACUUCUAAUGACUCACCUCCCGUUCCGUCAUCACCUACUUCGGUCAUGCCUUCAACUACAGCAGCUACUCCUACUCUUGCUCUUCGAAAAGGUAUUCGCUCUUUCCGAAAUCCUCAUCCCAUUUAUAAUUUUGUGACUUACCAUCGUUUGUCUCCUUUCUAUUAUACUUUUGUCUCUGUUGUGUCUGCUGUCUCCAUACCCAAGACAGUUAGAGAAGCAUUGGAUCAUCCUAGUUGGUGUAAUGCCAUAGUUGAGGAAAUGACUGCUCUGCAUAACAAUGGAACUUGGAAAAUGGUAUCCUUACUACCUAGUAAGUCUACUGUUACUACCUAGUAAGUCUACUGUUACUACCUAGUAAGUCUACUGUUACUACCUAGUAAGUCUACUGUUGGUUGUCGAUGGGUUUACACAGUUAAGGUGGGACCUGAUGGCAAAAUUGAUCGCCUUAAAGCUUGCCUUGUAGCUAAAGGUUACAUACAGAUUUUUGGUCUUGAUUACAGUGAUGCUUUCUCUCCCGUAGCCAAAAUAGCUUCUGUUCGCCUCCUUAUCUCAUUGGCUGCAAUUAAUCACUGAACCCUGCAUCAACUGGACAUUAAAAAUGCCUUUCUUCAUGGAGAGGUCGCUGAAGAAGUUUAUAUGGAGCAACCUCCAGGGUUUGUUACUCAGGGGGAGUCAGGCUUAGUAUGUCGUCUUCGGCGCUCUUUGUAUGGGCUAAAACAGUCUCCAAGAGCAUGGUUUGGACGAUUUAACACUGUAGUUCAACAGUUUGGAAUGUCUCGAAGUAAUUCUGAUCAUUCUGUAUUUUUUCGUUAUAAUGGUGAUAGAUGCAUCUACUUGGUGGUCUAUAUUGAUAAUAUUGUCAUUACAGGAAAUGAUCACGAUGGAAUCUCUCAGUUUAAGCAACAUUUGUUCAGUCAUUUCCAAACUAAAGAUUUGGGGAAACUGAAAUAUUUCUUGGGAAUUGAAGUAGCACAAUCUAAAACAGGUAUUGCAAUUUCUCAACGGAAAUAUGCUUUGGAUAUAUUGGAAGAAACAUACAUGUUAGACUGUAGACAUGUAGACACUCCUAUGGAUCCAAAUGUUAAGCUUGUUCCUGAACAAGGGGAGCCACUUAAAGAUCAUGCUAGAUACAGAAGAUUAGUCGGCAAGCUCAAUUAUCUCACUAUCACACGACCAGAUAUUUCCUUUGCUGUAAGUAUGGUUAGUCAAUUUCUUCAAACUCCAUACAGUAGUCAUUGGGAUGCAGUCAUUCGUAUUCUUAGAUAUAUCAAAGGAGCUCCAGGACAGGGUCUACUCUAUGAGGACAAGGGUCACUCACAAAUUGUUGGCUAUUCUGAUGCAGAUUGGGUAGGUUUCCCUUCCGAUAGACGAUCUACUUCAGGAUAUUGUAUUAUGAUUGGAGGGAAUCUCAUAUCCUGGAAAAGUAAAAAACAGAGUGUGGUUGCAAGAUCAAGUGCAGAAGCAGAAUAUCGAGCUAUGGCUUUAGCAACAUGCGAACUCAUCUGGUUGAAGCAACUCCUUCAGGAAUUGAAAUAUAGUGAUACUGGCCAAAUGAAGUUGAUAUAUUGCAUCAAAUCCAGUUUUUCAUGAGAGGACGAAGCAUAUAGAGGUGGAUUGCCAUUUUAUUAGGCAAAAGAUCGAGUCUAGAUGCAUUUCUAUUAGCUUUGUCAACUCAAAUGAUUAGCUAGCUGAUGUUUUCACAAAAUAGCUUGAGGGGGAGUGUUGAGAUUAUUUCUGUAAAUAGCCUAGAUUUGUAGUGAUAAUUAGGGAUAUGAUUGUAUGAUAUGAGUGGGAUAUGAUUAGGCUAUAAUUAGGGAAUUAAUUUAACCUUGUAAGUAGUAUAUAUAUAUACCCCAAUUAGCUUGAGGGGAAUAAUAAACUAGCUUCUGCUCUCUUUUUCUUCUUUUCAUCAAAGUUUCAAUUCAGAUAUUUGGGUCUAAGUCGGGUUAGUACAACUUUGGGAUUUCAAUAUUUUUGUUAUCUUUAUGGAUGACUAUUCUCGUUGCACUUGGCUUUUUCUGAUGAAGAAUCGUUAUGAGUUGUUCUUUAUUUUUCAGAAGUUUUGUGCUGAAACCAAUAAUCAAUUUGGUGUUUGCAUUAAGACAUUGUGAAGUGACAGUGCAAGAGAAUAUUUGUCUUCCUUAUUCACUUAUUUCUUGUCUACUUAGGGUAUUACUUACCAAACUUAUUGUUCUCAUACCCCACAGUAAAAUGGGAUUUUCGAGCGAAAAAAUCGGCAUUUGGUUGAAACAGCCCGCACCUUACUCCUACAUCACAUUGUUCUGUUGCGUUUUUGGGGGAAGCUGUCCUUAUUGCCUCUUAUUUGAUUAACCAAAUACCUUCCCUCUAUUUUGCAGCAUCAAAGUCCUCAUUCUGUUCUAUUUCCUAAUCAGAAUUCCACCUAGUUGUUUUUUUGUGUUUUCAGAUGUGUAUGUUUUGUUCAUAAUCAUAUUCCUAGCAAAGACAAACUCUAGUCUAAAUUAGUUAAAUGUGCCUUUCUCGGCUAUUCACCGCUUAAAAAAUGUUACAAAUACUAUGAUCCUACUACUAACAAAUAUUUUGUAUCCGCAGAUGUCACUUUUUUUGAAACCUCACCUUAACUUUCUUCUAGUCUAACAUAAAAAAAACUUUGUUCCUAGGGCAAAUUCUAGUCCAUCACACACAAAACAUUUCUACCAGUUUUGUCAACUCAAAUGACCAACUAGCUGAUGUUUUCAUAAAAUCUUAUCGGGAUUCACGAAUCGAAUAUAUUUGUAACAAGCUUGGAGCAUAUGACAUGUACGCUCUAGCUUGAGGGGGAGUGUUGAGAUACUUUCUGUAAAUAAUCUAGAUUUAUAGUGAUUGUGUGCAUAAUUAGGGAUAUGAUUAUGUGAUAUGAUUGGAAUAUGAUUACGCUGUAAUUAGAGAAUUAAUUUAUUUUCUUAUCUAGUACUUAUUUUUGUAAGUAGUAUACAUACCCCAAUUGGCUUGAGG
rnacentral:lncRNA from 1 species